AGUGGCGGACGGGUGAGGAAUAUAUCGGAAUCUACCCUUUCGUGGGGGAUAACGUAGGGAAACUUACGCUAAUACCGCAUACGAACUGAGGUUGAAAGCGGCGGACCGCAAGGCGUCGCGCGGAUGGAUGAGCCGAUAUCCGAUUAGCUAGUUGGCGGGGUAAAAGCCCACCAAGGCGACGAUCGGUAGCUGGUCUGAGAGGAUGAUCAGCCUCACUGGAACUGAGACACGGUCCAGACUCCUACGGGAGGCAGCAGUGGGGAAUAUUGGACAAUGGGCGCAAGCCUGAUCCAGCCAUGCCGCGUGUGUGAAGAAGGCCUUCGGGUUGUAAAGCACUUUUGUUGGGAAAGAAAAGCGGUCGGUUAAUACCCGGUCGUUCUGACGGUACCCAAAGAAUAAGCACCGGCUAACUUCGUGCCAGCAGCCGCGGUAAUACGAAGGGUGCAAGCGUUACUCGGAAUUACUGGGCGUAAAGCGUGCGUAGGUGGUUUGUUAAGUCAAAUGUGAAAGCCCCGGGCUCAACCUGGGAAUUGCAUUUGAUACUGGCAGACUAGAGUGCGGUAGAGGAGAGUGGAAUUCCCGGUGUAGCAGUGAAAUGCGUAGAGAUCGGGAGGAACACCAGUUGCGAAGGCGGCUCUCUGGACCAGCACUGACACUGAGGCACGAAAGCGUGGGGAGCAAACAGGAUUAGAUACCCUGG
rnacentral:rRNA from 1 species